AUAGCAGUAUUUCAAUUGGAAGAAUUCGUGAUCUGGAGUCAUGAGGUUGUCAGUUCGAGUCUGGCCUGCUAUA
rnacentral:tRNA from 2 species